ACAUAAACGUAAUGAUACUACCAAAGUCAAUCAUUAAGUGCAUUGUCAUUAUAGAAUCACAGAAUCCUUAGAGAUGGAAGGGACCUUCAAAAGUCAUCUAGUCCAACUCCCCCGCAGUGAACAGGGACAUGCACAGCUAAAUCAGGCUGCCCAUUUAGCUGGGCAAAAGCAAUGGAACAGAGGUACCUGUUGAGGUACAGGUGUACGUGGUGUUUCAUACACUGCACUUAUCGUUACAGGUGGUUUGUGUGCCUUCAGCAGCCUCACGCACACUAGCCCUGCACCCGCCGGGAGCACUGCCACCGGCUGAGCGUCCUACAGGCGCUCAGACCUCUGCUGGGAGCACUUCAGCACCGUCACCGUCAGCAGCUCUGCGGACACACCGGCAGCACCUCUAUCUUACAGCCGAGGGCAAGCAGGAGGGCAGGGCUACCAGGCCGUGGGGAGGGGGUGAUGCACCGUGCUUCGCCUCGUAGAGCCAACCCUUUCAGCUGUGUAAGCCCACCAGACUGAGCGGUGGCUCAGUACGGUUCUGCACCCAGGAGGAUCCGCCAUGCAGUAUUAUCAGGAACAUACCUAGCUCUGCGUACCAGUUCUGGGUAUAGCUUCUUGCCUGUUUCACCCAGACCAUGUGGAACUGGGAUCCUGCAGUCUGGAGAAGGGGAAGGCUUGGGGGAGCCCUUAUUGCGCUGUACUACUGUCUGAAAGGAGGUUGUGGUGAGAUGGGGAUUGGUAUCUUUUCCCAGGUGACAGCGAUAGGAUGAAGAGAAAAUGACUUUGUGUUGUGGCAGGGGAGGUUCAGGCUGGAUAUUUGUAAAAAUCUCUUCUCCAGAAGACUGGUGAGGCACUGCAAAGGGCUGCCCAAGGAGAUGGUGGAGUCACGGUCCCUGGAGGUGUUCAAGAAAUGUGUAGAUGUGGCACUGAGGGACAUGGAUUAGAGGGCAUGGUGGGGAGGGGCUGAUGGCUGGACUAGGUGAUCUUAGAGGUCUUUUCGAGCCUUAAUCGUUCUGAUUUAGGUAGCACAGGACUCAAAUAAAAAGCUCGGAGAGCUAUUCCAUAAAGGCUGAGAUCCUUAUGAAAUACACUGAAGAAAAAAUAAUUUUAGUAUAUGUUCUAAUUAACAAAAGCAGAUUUACUGUCCUUCUAGCUGUAUAUAAAUUGAAAUUCAGAACGUAAAUGUUUCAUUCUCUGAUUUUACUUUCCCUUUUAGAAGGUAAACGGUAUUUUGCAUGAAAUCGGUGAGUAUGAAAAAUAAGUUUUCACAAUACCACAUGCAUUCUUCAGCAUAAAUGUUUUGCAGAUAUUUUCUCUGUAGUUUCAUGUUCAGAAAACAGGAAAAGCAAGAAGAAUGCAGUGAUUAAUAAUUGUCUGUUUUAUUGGUAAAGCUUAAAAAGUUCAGGACAUUAUAAGGGUAGAAAUUAACAUUAGGAUACAAGCAAGUCAUGCUCUGAUCUGCACAGAGUACUAUUCUUAAGCACUUCUAAACUUCUUGGUUAACUAAUGACCUUAUCAGAUACCUUCUGAAGUGGAAAAAAAAAGUGGAAGAAAUCUUUAAGAAAUAAUAGGUCUUCUGCAGAUAUAGCCUAAUUCAGUACAGUGCUAGAGCAGCUUUACAACUCAGUAGACUUGCACUGAUGUAAGUCAUGUAAUGAUAACCCUAGAAGUAGUUAUGACCAAGUUUUUCAAUACAUUAACAAUUUUUCUUAUAUUUGGUUUGAGUUGUAGGUGCUGAAGCAACAGUGAAUUUGGCUUAAUCUGCGCAUUUUGUAACUGGAAGAAAAAUAACACUUCCUCUUCAUUUGUGUGAAUCCUCAGGUGGAGUAGCAUGUCUCUACUAGCUCAUCAGCAUGUACUUGUCUUCUGGGUGUUCUACGUCCUGCCCAGAGUAAGAGUGAAGCAAGGCACAGGAGUGAUGAUUAGGGACUUGGGGGCAAUAAUUGCAGUGUUAAAGGAAAUUAGGCUUCAUUACUUACACUGAUCUAGGUGUACAUUUAACAGAUGCAAGGUCCUGCACGUGUAUUGACGUAAUAGAUCCUAGGCUCUACCUACAGGGGCAUUACUAGUAGAUAUAGAGUUGUAAUCAUCCCACUCAGUGCUUGUCAGUCUGCACCUGGAGUCCAGUUGUGGUUUCCCAGUUCAAUAAAGAUGUGGGCAGACUGGAGAGGGUCCAGAGGAGGGCCAUGAAGACGAUCAAAGGGCUGGAACACCUGGCCGUGUGGAAAGGCUGAAAGAGUUAGGUCUUUUCAAUCUGGAGAAGUAAAGGCUUAGGGGGAACUUCAUCAUGGUAUUUCAGUACUUAAAGGGUGGCUACAGAGAGGAUGGAGGCACUUCCUUCACAAAGGGGUAACAUGCGUAAAGCAAGGGGCACUGGGUACAAGCUGCACUGGGAGAGGCUUUGUCUUGAUAUAAGACAGGUUGUUUUUUUUUUAAUGAUAACAAUCAGUCACUGAAACAACCUCCCCAGGGACAUGGUGGAGUUCCCAUCAUUGGAGACUUUCAAGAUGCAGUUGUGCAAGAUGCUGGAUAAUCUCACCUAGGCUCCCUUUUCCCACAGAGGAUUGAACCUGAUGAUCUUUCGAGGUCCCUUCCAUCCUAGGUUGUUCUAUGAUUCUAUUCGCCAUUCAGCCUGGCAUGCAGAUGUACUGCAUUGUAUCAUCUACCAGGAGAUGUUAUCUCUUAAGCCAAGGGGCUGCUAACAGUGAUUCACACAGUAUAUUUUCCUAAAUGUCCUAUCAUCUGUUUUAUAGAGGUUUCUCAUGUUGAAUGAUGCAAGGGUUCUGAUUAUUCUUUAUUACUUUGCAUUGACUUUUGAGUAAAUUCAGUGUAAAAAAAAAAAAUGCAUUUUUAAAAAUUUAUUUAUUUGCUUACCUCAUUUGCUGCAGAACAUGUCUUACAUGAGGGUUGACCACAUCAUGGACCUUAAUGACUAUGGUGAUUAUUUUUUGUUUAGUUCAGUUGACUGUUUUGAAGUUAACAGCUUGUAGGAGCCUCUGAUCUCAGCUUUCUUAGCAAUGAAAUAGAGGUUUCUUUGUUUUACUUCCUUUGAGUGAAAUGAUUACCUCAGCCUUCGCUUUCAUGCUGGUAACUUGAAUAUGAAACAAAGGAAAUCAUGCACUCUCUUUGCUAAAGCUAUUCAUAGGAAAUAUCUUUGAUUUAAAUGUAGUAAUUAAAUAAAUAUGUAUGCUUGAAAAGGUUAAGAUCUGUUAGUAUUGUUAAACUGAAGACUCCUGUUUACCUACAGAGUAGGCAUUGUGCAAAGAGCUGAAAUAAGAGCUUCCCUUCCCUGACUCACUUUUGACCUUAACCUAGACCACUCAUGUUCAGUGUUUGUAGAGCCAAGAUGUUUUCUGUGGUCUUUUCACAGAGCUUCUCUGAUUCAGUCAUUAUUAAUCUGUUAAAGGAUAAUGAUGAGGAGCUGAUCUGAGGCUGCUACAAAAUCAACAACAUAAUCAACAAAGCAUCCAAACUGUGGGCAUGUUAUGGAAAAUUAGCUCUUUCAAGUAAAAGUUUCAGAAAACUGCAUCCUACGCCUUUUUUUCUUUUAAAUAAAAAAAUGCUUUGUAAGUUAUUUCAGUGUUUUUAAACAUUCAAGUUUUUGCAGCUAUAAAUGAAAACUGAAUUUUCCAGUCUUGCAUACAUUUAAAUUUGUUUUUUCGGUGUUCACUUGAGUAUUUCCCAUUUACUGACGUUUAAAUGUUGAUUUACAAGUAACUCUUAAUACAGAAGUGUUAUCCUUUUCCUUGUCUAGCUUCAUCUGUAUUUCAGAAUUAGAUUUCCCAUUUGACUUUUAAAAAGUUAAAUUUGUUUCCUAGUAUUCUAGCAAAUAUUUGUAAAUUUUUCCCCAUUACAAAAGUUCGUAGCUAUAUGAGCCUGAAUGCUGUUUGUUCACGAGAGGCUUGCCUGGCAUUGUCUUCAUUACUUAUCUAGGUACAGCAUUUUUAGUUGAAGGAGGUUGGCUAUAGUGUAGGUGUAUUCUGCAUUUGGAGGAAUUGUUCAGUUUGGUACAAUGGAAAAAAUAUCACCAAAGGACUGAAAGCGCAUGGUGUUAUAACUUAAUACAAACACGAAAAACAACCAAAGGUUAAAACUUAAUCUGAUCUGAAUGUUGUACAUGUACAAACUAUCAAACUAAAGUUGAGUAUUAAAUGUCAGUGCAGCCUUAAACUAACCCUUAAGGGAGGAAACAGUAGACAUAAGUGUGUUUGAUGCAAAGAAUGCACUACCAAUAACCAUGCAAACAUUUGAACUUUAUGAAGGAAACAAAGGCAGAAAAGAUAAAGGCAGUUAAAAAUGGGAAGUAGGCAUCUAAGAGAAAUGAAAAAGAACCACAUAACGUGAUAUGAUUUAUCUGUCUUAUUCUUCAUCUUGAAAGUUGUCAGUGCAAAAUACAAAAAAGUGGCUGGUCCAGGACAUCACUUUAAUCUGAAAUGUCUCUUUGAUGAAAGACUAUUUCAACACCUUCGAUUAUCCUGUUUAAAAAUCUUAGGUAGCUUCAGUGUUUGACUCUUGCCUUGUGCUAUAAUCGGUAUCAAGAAUAUAUAAUAAGACAGCUUUGUUCAUUCCAGAUUGAAUUUUCAAAUGUGUAAAAAGAGGCAUGAAAUAAAUCUGGACAAACCAUUCUCCUGGAAGCUGGUAAGUAAAUCUUCCUACUCUGUCUCCUAAAUCAUUUCUUGAAUUUAGUUUCACUUAACUAUACUUACUUUCUUAGGGAGUAUAAUGGCUCUCAAAAUGUUUUCCCAAGACUACAGUUUAAAGAUACAAAGCAUUUGGCAGCAGUGCUCCCGCUAUAAUUGUUCUUGACUACUCAGUCCCCAGUAGUGGUAUAUAAUACCUCUCAGUUUGAGGAUUUGAUCUGGUUUUAAAAGCCUUAAAAAAAAAAAAAAAAAAAAAGGCAGGGGGAUGGCAAAGAUGCAAAAGGAAAUGGCCAGAUGUGAGAGGGUGGGAAAGGGAACACGUGUGAAUUACUGAAACUGAUGUCCUCACUGAGGAAAAUGCCUGUGCAGCCAUGCAUGUUUGUAACACUAUGACAAGAAUUGCAUACUUACUGCACUUAGGAACAUCCUAAGGUUUUUUUGGUUUUUUUUUUUUUGGAAUAAUCAAGGCAGGUCUAAUUUACAUAGGAAAGACUGUGUAUCAGUUGUAUUGAGUAUUCCAGUUUGUUAUUCACAGAACUUUUUGCACUAUUUAGGCUUGACAUGGCUUACUCUAGGAGUAUUGCUUUAUUUAGACUUGACACUUUAUAGAGGUUAGCAUUUUUUUGAGGCUGCUGGUAGCAUAUUAUCUAUUUUUCAGACCUAGCCUAGUGCCCUCACUGCCGGUGGCAAUGAAACAAAGUUGCUUAGGCAUGUGGGCAUCACUGCUACAAGAUUGCAAAGUACAGAAAAAUUUCAUUCCAUGUACAGUAUAGAACUUCUCAUUGAUGAAUAUAGCUUGGAAUUCAGCCCAUGCUCUUUGUGAAAGUUUUUCUGAGGAGUCCUGCAAAAGUAAACAUGAAACAAAGUUCUUACAAAUUUCAUUCAGGUACCUAAAUAGGUGUUUUUUGUUCGUUUGUCCUUCAUAGUCCAUUACUACUUACUUCUUCUGUAAGAUCAAUUUUUAUAUAUUGAUUUGGUAACCUGAUUGGACAGUUGGGUUAGAGGGAGCCAACAGAAUGCUAUACUGACAAAGUGAGAAAAGGAGAAAGAAAGAUCUUUGUUAGUAUGAGAACUAAAUUCAGCAAUAUCUCAAUUUGAAGUUCUAGCUGGAAGAUGUUGGUGCAAUUCCUGGUACUACUAUGACAAAUCUGCUUAAUAUUAACAGGUUCUUAAAAGCAUACAACUUAGACAGAGUUAAUAUUUUUUUCUUCUCAUAGAGAACUUGUCCAGUGCUAAUGCUUAGCUUUCACAAGAAAGCUGAAUUUUCAAACAUAGGGCAGGGGAGUGAGAGUGAGAAAGGAAGAGGAAACAGAUUUCAUGGUAUAGAAUAGGGAAAUUGUAGGAACAAAGAGUCCAUAAAAAUAUAGUAAAUGGUAGAGUGGAUAGAUGGAAAAAAGAAUCAAUAAAAACCUGUAUGCGUAAGAAAUGUCUGUAAAUUCAGUAAAAGUUUUUACAUUAGCAAAUGAUUUAGAAGUCCAAGGCAAAAAUGCUGGUACAAUAUAUUGACUUUAGCCAGUGAAGCGCUUGCUUUAAUCAUGUUUAAAAAAAACAAAAAACAAAAAAACAAUAAAAGUCUAGGAGAGAAUUCUGGCCCUGUCUCACCCACAAAAAACAUCAGCUUUUGUCAUGCAUGGGUACUGUAUAGUGUCAACAGCUGAAUAUUCCUUCUUGAAUUCUUUCUCAUCAUCAAGAAUCAAAGGCCAUCAGAAAGGCAGAAAAUCAAGCACAUAAAAGUGCACUUCAUGCUUCCUAUUUAUGACUCAGUGUCUGAAUCUUAAGAGUUCGUUACAUGGCUAUUGCAAAGAACACAUCAAAGGAGUAAAACUCACAUAUCUUGAACCAUUUACAAUGCAGGCAAGUUUCUGGUGUUAUUUUUCAUUGUUUGUCAUCUAAAUGAGAUGUAGUGAUUUCACUGCUUUCAUGUGGAUCAAGUGCCUCAUGCAUUUUAGUGGAAAGAGGAGACUGUUAGGCUGGAGUUCUGAUAUCCAGUAGGAGAAAGAAGUGUUAAAAUAUAAAAGCAAAAAAUGAAAUGUUGAGGCUUAAGUGUAGAUUUACUCUGAUUGUUCAGAAGAGGGAAACCAAUACUGAAAGAUGGACCAAUGAAAUGGUUAUUUACAGAAUAAUUUGUAGUGGUAUUCUGAGUUCUUGAUAAAAAUUUUUUUAAUUUGUUUUAAUUGGCUAAAAGAGAACAUGAGAUGCAAGUUUCCUUGUAUUUCUUGCUGGUCACGUUAGUCUGCUCGUCCUAUCAGAUACCAAUGCACAUGCAUUCUCUUCUCUUUGUAUUCAUGCUGCCUUAGAGCAAUAUCUCAGUAUGUUUUAAAGCACCUUCUUUCUAAUAGAACAAAUGCAUGCGAGAGCUGAGAUUGAUUUUGUAAUCAGGCCUCACUUAGGAUUUCAGUGCUGUUUAGUAGUAAUGCAUUCCACCUGAUUAGCGGGUAGGCAUACAGAGACACAAUUUCUGUUAUCGUUUCUUUCAAGUCAUUUCAGGAACUGUAAAACAAAUUCUGUACAAAGUCAGUUGUUUUGCUUCUGAUGUAAACUCAGAGUGGGAGUAUCGAGGGAAGUUUCUAUAUAAAAUCUCAAAUCAGAAGAUCAAAGUAUACAAUCUGUUUGAAGAAAUGGCAGUUCCACAUCAUCUAGAAUAAAUUGGAGAGAGAAAUGAAAAAAAAAAUGUUCUUUGAGUUGCUUCAGCCUGUGAGAAUGUAAAAGCGUGAGAAUACAGGUGCAAAAGGAAUUGUAUCUCAUCAAAUGCAAGAACAGUUACCACUGAAACUUCCUCUGUUCCAAGUGAAAUUUAGUAUUAAAUAUAAAAUAACACUUCCUGAAAAAGAACUAAUGGGGAACACAAUAUGCUGCUUUUCUUGGCUGACAGAGCAGAAAAGAACCUUAAAGGGCUUAUUCUUGUUGUGGUUUUUGUUUUUUUUUCCUUGAAAGCUAAACCAGGAGAAGAAAGGGAUUAAUGUUGAAUAUAUUGAUUCAGGUAUCUUGUGACCAGUGAAUACAGCCCAAUGUAUAGAACAGUAUACCUUUUUUUGCUUAUCUUGCGCAAAAAGUUUAAUAUUUGCUCUCUUAUUUCCUUAAUAAGGGUGAGCUUUACAGCUUUAAAAGUUUCCAAAUGAAGUAAUGUAUUGGGACUCCGUAUUGUGUAGUCAUUAGUUAUAACCAGUACUCACGUUGGACUCUGACUGCACUGUGCUGAUGCAGUCAGAUUAGAGUACCGGGUGGGAGGAUCUUUUUUCAGUGGGAGAAAGGAGAAUGAACUACUCUAAUGCACCCAUACGGUGGAGUGCUGAGUACAACAAACAAGUAACCAUCCUUUGAAGCUUUCUUGUUUCCAGUGAUUAAAAUCCCUGCUUAAAUUCUGAUGCUAUACUUACCAAGAAGGCCACCGACUUUAAACAAUUAUUUUCUAAUCUACAAUACUUCCAUCUUUCUCACUCAUCCAAAGACAUUCCAUUUCCAACACAACAUUUUAGAAAGGACAAUUCUAGCGAUAAGGCAUGCUUUCUUAUGGAGACACACUAUGCUGUUUAGAAAAUCAACAAACAGAACAGUCUUAAACAAUUUGUAAUGCUAUGUUACUGCUAUCUGAUGGUUUCUCAUCAAUUUAUUGUGACUGCUAAGGUUACCAAUUGACUGCUAAACAUAUAAUUUGUGGAGGAGAAAGUUU